rnacentral:lncRNA from 1 species
UCAGGACCUGCGCUUUUUUUUUUCUUUUUUUUUUUCUCCCCCUUUUUUCCCUUUCCCCCCCUUUUCCCUAUCCCUUUCCUUAAGGAAGAACAUUCCUCUGUAUUGAAGUGCAAGGUGCCGAGUUUGCAGGAGGAAAGAAACGAGCUUGUUUUCAGAAAAUCCUUGCAAAGCUACAUUUUUUUGGCCAGAUAGAGCAAAAUAACGCUGUAAAUACCCUGAGCACCAUUAAACAGCCAAUGCCCGGCUGCAUUAAAGCAGCGCUGGAGGCGCCGCGGGGAGGCUCGCCCUCCCGGCUCUGAGCCUUCACACGCACGCUUUGCCCUUCGGGCAGCGUUUGCUGCCUUCAGACGGGUAUGAGAGGAGUCCGAGUCCGAAGGAAGAGGAGGGAGCUUGCCGCCCCCCGGACCGCGUCCGCAUGGGGAAAAGCCGUGCAGGUUUAUCGACAGGGAGGAGGAAAGGCGUUUCCCUCGUCGGCGGGUGUCUGCCCCGUCAAGCGGUCCGCCGCCGUGGGGCACGGGUAGGCGCAGCAAAAGGAAACGAGGCAGCUUUCUUCGCUUGGUUUUUGUUUGCAGGCCAUCUGUUAAGGCCCUUUUACGUUUGUAGCCAAACAGGAUUAUUUUUAGCAGUGCCGCUUGUUGGUGUUUGGCAGGUUGGUGCAGUUGACGCAUCGCUGCGAGGAACCGCACACGAGAAACAGUUCGUUAAGAAUAUGUAAUUAACUUAAAACAAUCAGAUAAUCUGCAAGUGAUGCUCGCGGUGUAGUGCGACUUCCGAUUCAAGGGGAAAGAGCUAAAUGAAAAACUCGGAUUCUGGAGGGCUUUUUUGCUUGACUUGCGAGUUUAGAAGUAGGUCUUCAAGUAAGCGCUUCCCUGGUGGGGGACGAGACAAGGGGGGGUCUGAAGUUUCUACCCGGGCCGAGCGGGAAGCCCCGGCCCCGCGUAGCGGCGAUGCUGCAGCAUCGCCAUGGCAACCGGUGGAAACCGCUGGGAAAAGGAGCGAUUUCACGCUGGGUUGCAGCCAAGAAUUAUUGCUAGUGUCACGUUGCUGCGGCCGAGUUGCUCAUCAAUAAAACUAAAUUGGGACGGCUGUCUUGCA